CUCACAGGGAGGGCUCUUUGAAGUUAGGAUGGAUUUUCUCUAUAUAUCCUGUACCCUCAGAAAAAUAAACAGAGUCAGUUUUCUGCUCCGCCUGGUCCCACUUCAUGUCUUAUUUCACGCCUUUCCAUUCGGUGUACUAUCUGGUGGCGGGCAACAAAUGGCGCCCAAACAGGGACAAAGAGUCUGAGAAAUUGGACGCUCCAGAGGAAAGAAAAAAAUCCUCGCCGGGCUACUGUGCCAGAAAACAAGGUCCUGAAGUGGCUGGACGCUGUGGUACUAAGGAGCCAGGAAAGAGCCUUGGAAUUUACAACUCUAUCUAGGAACUCUGAUAAGGAGGAAAUGUAUGUUAUCACAUCCUCCAGCAGAUGUUUUCGGGAGUGCCUCACGGGGAAGGCUCUUUGAAGCGAACAUUUCUAGCACAAUAUGAAAUAACAGAGAUGAUAAUGGGCAUCCCUUGCUUCACCCUGAUAAUAGUGGGAAGGCUUCUAGCUUAUCCCCAUUACAAAUAAUGCUUGCUGCUGGUUUUCAACAAUACAUGACUUAUCAUUUUAAGCAGGUGGAAGAGUCGGAAGUCUGAGUAUUCCUAUUGAAGUGACCUUGGGCAAGGCGCUUUUCUGGGCUUCGCUCUCCUCGUCUGUAGAAUGAGCAGGAUGGAACUGAUGGCUGCUGUGGCCCCUCCCAGCUGCAGGACUGUGGUCGUGUGAAGUCCCUCCACCUCUUCUGGCCUCAGUUUCCUCUUCAGUGACGUGGUGCAUAAAGUGGCAUGCAGUAAAGGGCUGCAUAAGAUGACCUCCUGGGCUCCUUCCAGGUCCAGAUACAUGAGAGAGGGGGACGGGAGCAGACAUUUACACAGCACCUACUACGUGCCAGGCACAGCGGUGAGCACUUCAUAAACAGUGUCUCAUUUGAGUCUCCUAACAGCCCCGUGAGGUGGGUGCUAAUAUAAUCCCCAUUUCACGACUAAGGAAACUGGCGAACAGGGCUGA